rnacentral:rRNA from 1 species
UACGUACGAGGCAAGCGUUAUCCGGAAUUACUGGGCGUAAAGCGUGCGCAGGCGGUUCUAUAAGACAGAUGUGAAAUCCCCGGGCUCAACCUGGGAACUGCAUUUGUGACUGUAGAGCUGGAGUACGGCAGAGGGGGAUGGAAUUCCGCGUGUAGCAGUGAAAUGCGUAGAUAUGCGGAGGAACACCGAUGGCGAAGGCAAUCCCCUGGGCCUGUACUGACGCUCAUGCACGAAAGCGUGGGGAGCAAACAGG